rnacentral:rRNA from 1 species
UAAGGAAUAUUGCUCAAUGGGAGAAAUCCUGAAGCAGCAACGCCGCGUGGAGGAUGAAGGGUCUAUGACUUGUAAACUCCUGUAAAGAAGGAAAAAAUUCCCAUUAGAUGGGAGAUGAUGGUACUUCUGGAGUAAGCCCCGGCUAACUACGUGCCAGCAGCCGCGGUAAUACGUAGGGGGCAAGCGUUGUCCGGAUUUACUGGGUGUAAAGGGUGCUCAGGCGGAUUUGUAAGUCAGAGGUGAAAUCUUACAGCUUAACUGUGAAACUGCCUUUGAUACUGCAAGCCUAGAGUAUGGAAGAGAGUGAUGGAAUAUCUGGUGUAGCAGUGAAAUGCGUAGAUAGCAGAUAGAACACCAAUGGCGAAGGCAGUCACUUGGUCCAUUACUGACGCUAAAGCACGAAAGCGUGGGUAGC